AGUGAACGCUGGCGGUAGGCCUAACACAUGCAAGUCGAACGGCAGCACAGUAAGAGCUUGCUCUUACGGGUGGCGAGUGGCGGACGGGUGAGGAAUACAUCGGAAUCUACUUUUUCGUGGGGGAUAACGUAGGGAAACUUACGCUAAUACCGCAUACGACCUACGGGUGAAAGCAGGGGAUCUUCGGACCUUGCGCGAUUGAAUGAGCCGAUGUCGGAUUAGCUAGUUGGCGGGGUAAAGGCCCACCAAGGCGACGAUCCGUAGCUGGUCUGAGAGGAUGAGGCGCCAGAAGGGAACUGAGACACGGUCCAGACGCCUACGGGAGGCAGCAGUGGGGAAUGUUGGACAAUGGGCGCAAGCCUGAUCCAGCCAUACCGCGUGGGUGAAGAAGGCCUUCGGGUUGUAAAGCCCUUUUGUUGGGAAAGAAAAGCAGCAGGUUAAUACCCCGCUGUUCUGACGGUACCCAAAGAAUAAGCACCGGCUAACUUCGUG
rnacentral:rRNA from 1 species